rnacentral:rRNA from 1 species
CCUACGGGUGGCUGCAGUGAGGAAUAUUGGUCAAUGGACGAGAGUCUGAACCAGCCAAGUAGCGUGAAGGAUGACUGCCCUAUGGGUUGUAAACUUCUUUUAUAUGGGAAUAAAACGUUCCACGUGUGGGAUUUUGUAUGUACCAUAUGAAUAAGGAUCGGCUAACUCCGUGCCAGCAGCCGCGGUAAUACGGAGGCUCCGAGCGUUAUCCGGAUUUAUUGGGUUUAAAGGGAGCGUAGGUGGAUUGUUAAGUCAGUUGUGAAAGUUUGCGGCUCAACCGUAAAAUUGCAGUUGAAACUGGCAGUCUUGAGUACAGUAGAGGUGGGCGGAAUUCGUGGUGUAGCGGUGAAAUGCUUAGAUAUCACGAAGAACUCCGAUUGCGAAGGCAGUUCACUGGACUGCAACUGACACUGAGGCUCGAAAGUGUGGGUAUCAAACAGGAUUAGAUACCCUUGUAGUC